rnacentral:lncRNA from 1 species
AGAAGGAGGGGAGACAAGGAUGGCUACAGUUUUUUUUUUUUUUUUUUUUGUCAUGAGCAACUGGAAGCAUGGAGUUGACAUUUAUUGAGAUGGGAAAACUAUGAGAGGAGCAAAUUUGGUAAAAAAUGAUAUGAAGUCCAACUCCCAGCCCCUGUUCUAUCAGGCUUCAGGAAACUCCAUCUCAGUUAUUAUUACAAACCCUCCACCCUCCAGGUUCAGGAUUUGAAGCAGAGUAGUAACAUAAUCUGAUACUUUUUUUCUUUUUCUUUUUUUUUUUGAGACUUGCUCACUCUGUCACCCAGGCUGGAGUGCAGUGGUGUGAUCCUAGAUUACCAGCAAAAGCAGUAUGGCCUCCUUUAUCACUUCUAGUGGGCAUUUUAAUUACAUUCUUUCUUAUUUCUCUUUUUGUUUAGGAAUGAACAUAUGCAGUUUCCUACUAAGUUAUUUUAAAUCUUAUUCUCUGUCACCAUAAAAUUAAAUUGUAUUUCUGAGAAGUAUAUUCUUAUGAUGAGUUCUUUAUCUUUCAUGUUUUCCAUUCCCAUUUGGUGUUUCAGAACCUCAUGAUUAGCCAGCUAGUUCUUCUCCUUAUGAUGGUUAAUUUUACGGGUCAACUUGACUAGGCUAAGGGAUGCCCAAAUCGCUGGUAAAACAUUAUUUCUGUGUGUCUGUGAAGGUGUUUCUGGAAGAGACAAGCAUUUGAAUCAGUAGACUGAGUAAAACAAACUGCCCUCCCCAAUGUGGGCAGGAACCAUCCAGUCUGUUGAGGGUGCGGCUAGAACAAAAAAUCAGAGGAAGGGCUAAUUUUCUCUCUCUCCUCUUGAGCUGGGAUAUCCAUCAUCUCCUGUCCUCAGACAUCAGAGCUCCUGGUUCUUGAGGCUUCAAAAUCCAGGACUUAUACCAGCAGCACCUACACCUCCCUACCUCCCUUCCUAUGCCCUAACCCCAACGUAGACCUCUGACCUUGGACAGGGAGUUACGCUAUGAGUUCCCGUGUUUCUCAGGCCUGCGGACCAGACUGAAUUACACCACCAGCUUUCCUGGUCCUGCAGUUUACAGACUGCUUAUCAUAGAACCUCUCACCCUCCAUAAUCCCCAUCAUGAGCCAAUUCCCAAUGUAAAUCUCCUUUAUAUCUCUAUGAAUCCUUUUUGUUCUGUUUCUCUGGAGAACCCUGACUAAUAUCCCCUUCCUCUUUCUUCUUUUAUCUUCUAGUGAGGAUUGGAUUUGGUCGACUUCUGUCUUCAUUUUUGAGCCAAUUCCUCUUCAUAACCUUUGCUGUUCUUCACAAAGAAGGCCAUCAAAGGCUAAAUAAAGAUUUCUAUCAUAAAAAUCAGUCAUAUUUAGUCAUAAUCAUGUGUAUCUUAAGCACUUACCAUGUGUUAGGCACGAAGCUAAAAGUUUGUCUCAUUUAAUUCUCAAAAUGAAAUGGAUAUUUCUAUUAUCCCAUUUUACAGAAGAAGAAAAGCUCUGGGAAACUAAGCACACUUCCUAAGGUCUUAUGCUAGAGUGAGUGGCAGAGCCAGCUUUCAGGGCCAAGUGUCUGAUUCCGAGGUACACUCUUGAUUAGCCACCUCAUCUAUCAUUGGCCCAGGGGAUGGUUUUUCCAGGCUCGACUAGCCCAGUUUGAAAACAGAAGGACAUGGAGCUAUGUGAGCAUAGACCAUAGUUGCAUUCUUUGCACCUACAGGAAGUAAACAACAUGCCAAUCCAAGUCCUAAUGCAAAUAAGAGCCUAUUUGUUUUCUGAGUCAAUCCUUCAGGUAUUAUCUGUAACAGAUCUGUGGCUCCUCUGGUUAGACUGGGCCUUGAUUGAAUGUGAUGUUGCCGUCAGUCUAGAUUUGUGCUUACAUAUGUGACUGGUCCCCAGAUGCCAUACAACACUUAAAUGCAGCCCAGUAAUGGUUCCUGACCACCGCACCUCCACUCCAAGAACACAUAGCUGAUGCAGCUGCCGAGCUAUUUCCUAGCCUAAUUACUUUCUUUAUUUUCAUGCCUGGCCAUUGUUAAUGACAUUUGGCCAUCAAGCACACAGUAAAUAGAAUUAGGAUGUAUUGGAAAAAUAUGACUUCUGUACAGAAAGUUGAGAAUCCAGAAAUUGCCAUCUGGAUUUUAUGUCUUCUUGCACAAUAAGACAGCCUCUCAAGGCAGCACAUUUUGGGAGUAGCUUGGCAACAUUCAGCAGCAGCUUGAUUCCUCUUUCUUUAUCCUGCCUGCUCCCAGAUGCUGAGUCCUGCUCUGUA